rnacentral:tRNA from 1 species
UAGGAAGUGGUGUAGCGGAAACACUUAGAGUUUUGAUCUCUAUAUUAUGGGUUCGAGUCCCUUCUUUCUAA